rnacentral:rRNA from 1 species
GAUGAACGCUGGCGGCGUGCCUAAUACAUGCAAGUCGAGCGAACGGACGAGAAGCUUGCUUCUCUGAUGUUAGCGGCGGACGGGUGAGUAACACGUGGAUAACCUACCUAUAAGACUGGGAUAACUUCGGGAAACCGGAGCUAAUACCGGAUGAUAUUUUGAACCGCAUGGUUCAAAAGUGAAAGACGGUCUUGCUGUCACUUAUAGAUGGAUCCGCGCUGCAUUAGCUAGUUGGUAAGGUAACGGCUUACCAAGGCAACGAUGCAUAGCCGACCUGAGAGGGUGAUCGGCCACACUGGAACUGAGACACGGUCCAGACUCCUACGGGAGGCAGCAGUAGGGAAUCUUCUGCAAUGGGCGAAAGCCUGACGGAGCAACGCCGCGUGAGUGAUGAAGGUCUUCGGAUCGUAAAACUCUGUUAUUAGGGAAGAACAUAUGUGUAAGUAACUGUGCACGUCUUGACGGCACCUAAUCAGAAAGCCACGGCUAACUACGUG